GCACCCAUAGCUCAGCUGGAUAGAGUACUCGGCUACGAACCGAGCGGUCGGAAGUUCGAAUCU
rnacentral:tRNA from 1 species